rnacentral:rRNA from 1 species
CCUACGGGUGGCAGCAGUGAGGAAUAUUGGUCAAUGGGCGCGAGCCUGAACCAGCCAAGUCGCGUGAGGGAAGACGGUCCUAUGGAUUGUAAACCUCUCUUGUCGGGGAGCAAAAGACGCCACGCGUGGCGUUCCGAGAGUACCCGAAGAAAAAGCAUCGGCUAACUCCGUGCCAGCAGCCGCGGUAAUACGGAGGAUGCGAGCGUUAUCCGGAUUUAUUGGGUUUAAAGGGUGCGCAGGCGGAAGAUUAAGUCAGCGGUAAAAUUGAGAGGCUCAACCUCGUCGAGCCGUUGAAACUGGUUGUCUUGAGUGAGCGAGAGGUAUGCGGAAUGCGUGGUGUAGCGGUGAAAUGCAUAGAUAUCACGCAGAACUCCGAUUGCGAAGGCAGCAUACCGGCGCUCAACUGACGCUCAUGCACGAAAGUGUGGGUAUCGAACAGGAUUAGAUACCCUUGUAGUC